rnacentral:rRNA from 1 species
CCUACGGGUGGCUGCAGUAGGGAAUAUUGCUCAAUGGGGGAAACCCUGAUGCAGCAACGCCGCGUGGAGGAUGAAGUUUUUCGGAUUGUAAACUCCUGUUGUCAGAGAAGAUAAUGACGGUAUCUAACGAAUAAGCACCGGCUAACUCCGUGCCAGCAGCCGCGGUAAUACGUAGGGGGCAAGCGUUAUUCGGAGUCACUGGGCGUAAAGGGCGCGUAGGCGGGAAAGCAAGUCAGAUGUGAAAUCCUAUGGCUUAACCAUAGAACUGCAUUUGAAACUGUUAUUCUAGAGUAUGGGAGGGGUAGGUGGAAUUCUUGGUGUAGGGGUAAAAUCCGUAGAGAUCAGGAGGAAUACUGAUUGCGAAGGCGACCUGCUAGAACAUAACUGACGUUGAUGCGCGAAAGCGUGGGGAGCAAACAGGAUUAGAUACCCUUGUAGUC